UUCCGGUUGAUCCCGCCGGACCCGACUGCUAUCGGGGUGAGACUAAGCCAUGCGAGUCAGCACCCUCAGCCAUGAGAGGGUGCGGCGCACGGCUCAGUAACAUGUGGUUAACCUACCCUCAGGACGGGGAUAACCUCGGGAAACUGAGGCUAACCCCCGAUAGAUGAGGGAUCCUGGAAUGGUUCCUCAUCCAAAUGGUAUGCAUAUCAUGCUAUGCAUACCGCCUGAGGAUGGGACCGCAUCCUAUCAGGUAGUUGGUGGGGUAACGGCCCACCAAGCCUAUAACGGGUACGGGCCCUGAGAGGGGGAGCCCGGAGAUGGGUACUGAGACAAGGACCCAGGCCCUACGGGGCGCAGCAGGCGCGAAACCUCCGCAAUGCGCGAAAGCGCGACGGGGCCACCCCGAGUGCCACCCGCUGAGGGUGGCUUUUCCCUAGUGUAGUAAGCUAGGGGAAUAAGCGGGGGGCAAGUCUGGUGUCAGCCGCCGCGGUAAUACCAGCUCCGCGAGUGGUCGGGGCGAUUAUUGGGCCUAAAGCGUCCGUAGCCGGCCUAACAAGUCUCUGGUUAAAUCUCAAGGCUUAACCUUGAGAUCGCUGGAGAUACUGUUAGGCUAGGGGGCUGGAGAGGUUGAGGGUACUUCGCGGGUAGGGGCGAAAUCCUAUAAUCCGCGAAGGACCACCAGUGGCGAAGGCGCUCAACUGGAACGCGCCCGACGGUGAGGGACGAAAGCUAGGGGAGCAAAGGGGAUUAGAUACCCCCGUAGUCCUAGCCGUAAACGAUGCGGGCUAGGUGUUGGGUUGGCUUCGUGCCAACCCAGUGCCGCAGCGAAGGCGAUAAGCCCGCCGCCUGGGGAGUACGGCCGCAAGGCUGAAACUUAAAGGAAUUGGCGGG
rnacentral:rRNA from 1 species